UUCAUGUGUUUGGUUUUUUGUUUGUUUGUUUGUUUAAAGCAGGAAAGUUCCUCUGUCUGGUUCAGUGCCUGGUCACAGCAAGUUUUCCUGGCACAAGUGAGUGGAAAGAGCACUUUGGCAUGGAGAGGAAAUGAGCAGCGGAGGGUGAAAGGUGUCCUGGCGGGCACUUCCCAUUUGUGUCCUUAUCUCCCAGCCUCCAGCUGUCUUCAAAGGCUUCCCAGCUACUGUGUCCUGCAAGUUCAAAACCCUGCAGCCCUCUGGGACUGGAGAUGUGUGAAGGAGCACAAGGAUUGGAGUUGAAUGACAGUCUGAAAUCCUCGGAAACUCGCACACCGGCGGGGAGAAGGAAUGGGGGCAAAACCGAGGCUUUUCCAGAACACCUGGCCCGGGGGGUUGGGGUGAAAACGCUGAAUUUUGGGUGCCAGGGUGACACUUCUGUCUCUUCGCAGCGUUUCCACAGAGUUUGAGCAGCCGCGGUAGGGGCUGAGCUGGGUGCGGGGAUUUUCCCCCGUGUCCCCAGCGCUGCCCUAUGCCCCGAGCUUUCACCCUCUACACCAGCAUCAUCCCCUCCCACCAAAAAAAAUAAAAUAAAAAAAAUUUAAAAAAAUUUAAAAGCG
rnacentral:lncRNA from 1 species